UACGGAGGGAGCUAGCGUUGUUCGGAAUUACUGGGCGUAAAGCGCACGUAGGCGGCUUUGUAAGUUAGAGGUGAAAGCCCGGGGCUCAACCCCGGAAUUGCCUUUAAGACUGCAUCGCUUGAAUCCGGGAGAGGUGAGUGGAAUUCCGGAGUGUAGAGGUGAAAUUCGUAGAUAUUCGGAAGAACACCAGUGGCGAAGGCGGCUCACUGGACCGGUAUUGACGCUGAGGUGCGAAAGCGUGGGGAGCAAACAGG
rnacentral:rRNA from 1 species